CCUACGGGAGGCAGCAGUGGGGAAUAUUGCACAAUGGGCGAAAGCCUGAUGCAGCAACGCCGCGUGAGGGACGACGGCCUUCGGGUUGUAAACCUCUUUUAGUAGGGAAGAAGCGAAAGUGACGGUACCUGCAGAAAAAGCACCGGCUAACUACGUGCCAGCAGCCGCGGUAAUACGUAGGGUGCAAGCGUUAUCCGGAAUUAUUGGGCGUAAAGAGCUCGUAGGCGGUUUGUCGCGUCUGCUGUGAAAACUGGGGGCUCAACCCCCAGCCUAGCCAGUGGGUACGGGCAGACUAGAGUGCGGUAGGGGAGAUUGGAAUUCCUGGUGUAGCGGUGGGAAUGCGCAGAUAUCAGGAGGAACACCGAUGGCGAAGGCAGAUCUCUGGGCCGUAACUGACGCUGAGGAGCGAAAGCAUGGGGANCGAACAGGAUUAGAUACCCGUGGUAGUCCAUGCCGUAAACGUUGGGAACUAGAUGUAGGGACCAUUCCACGGUUUCUGUGUCGCUAGCUAACGCAUUAAGUUCCCCGCUGGGGAUACGGCCNCAAGGCGUAAAACUCAAAUGAAUUGACGG
rnacentral:rRNA from 1 species